UACGUAGGCAGCAAGCGUUGUUCGGAUUUACUGGGCGUAAAGGGCGCGUAGGCGGCGCAACAAGUCACUUGUGAAAUCUCCGGGCUUAACCCGGAGCGGUCAAGUGAUACUGUCGUGCUAGAGUGCAGAAGGGGCAACUGGAAUUCUCGGUGUAGCGGUGAAAUGCGUAGAUAUCGAGAGGAACACCUGCGGCGAAGGCGGGUUGCUGGGCUGACACUGACGCUGAGGCGCGAAAGCUAGGGGAGCGAACGGG
rnacentral:rRNA from 1 species